rnacentral:hammerhead_ribozyme from 1 species
GUCAAGCUGACGAGUCCCAAAUAAGACGAAAAGCGCAUCCUGGAU